UAGCUCAGUUGGUAGAGCAUUAGAUUGAAGCUCUAAGUGUCGGCGGUUCGAUUCCGU
rnacentral:tRNA from 1 species